rnacentral:rRNA from 1 species
CAGUAGCCGCGGGAAUACGUAGGUGGCAGGCGUUGUCCGGAUUUAUUGGGCGUAAAGCGAGCGCAGGCGGUUCCUUAAGUCUGGUGUGAAAGCCCACGGCUCAACCGUGGAAGGUCAUUGGAAACUGGGGAACUUGAGUGCAGAAGAGGAGAGUGGAAUUCCAUGUGUAGCGGUGAAAUGCGUAGAUAUAUGGAGGAACACCAGUGGCGAAGGCGACUCUCUGGUCUGUAACUGACGCUGAGGCUCGAAAGCGUGGGGAGCAAACAGGAUUAGAUACCCGAGUAGUCCCUGUCUCUUAUAC